GUGUCCAGAGCAGGGAGGGGCGGUCACAAGCAAGGACGAGCUCAAAGGACAAAGCUGGGUCAGCUUUUGUGUGCCCUUUGUUGAGAGGGGAACAUUUGUAAGAUGGCUUUGUUACCAAGGGCCCAUCCUUCUUUUAGAGCCAGAGACUAUUUUUAACUUAAGUUUUAGUGAUUCUGCAGGCCAGCUGUUUCAGGAAGAUAUGUAGGUCAGUCUGUGAUUUUUGGGAGUCAUCAUUUUUAAGGUUAGGGAGUGAGAUGGGGGAAGAGAACACAAGUAAUUCUGGAGUUCUGGAGGCGUCCACGGAGAUCUCCACCCACCCUGCGGAAAGCCACCACCCAGAUGCACCGUCUGGAGGAUCUGCAUGGGGCCUGGAGGAGGAAUAUUCUUUUGUUACACUUCGAGUGAAGUAUGUUGGUUUCUAUUCUUUUCCCCUUCACUUGCCAUCACCAAGCCAUAAUUGGGAGAAGACUGACCAGGCCCAUGUUGGGAGGCUAUGGGAGAAGGGCCCUCUUACCCACUGCACGGGAGUGAAAACUGUGACAGUAUCUACUAAGAUGAACAUGGAUUUACUUUCAGAUCCAGCAAUCUUUUUGUUCUUUGCAAGAAAUUAAUUUUUUAUGUAUGUGUGUGUACAGGUACGUGUGUGUGUGUGUGUGUGUGUGUGUGUGUGUGUGUGUGUGUGGUUUCAUCUUUACAUAUGUACAUGUGUAUACAUGUGUUUGUGUAUGUGUGUAUGUACAUGUAGGCCAAAUGGAAACCUCAGCUAUCAUUUUUCAGGAGCCAUCCACCUUGUCUUUUUGGGACAAGGUUUCUCACUUUUACCUGAAGCUCAUUGGUUCCCCUAUUCAGCUAGGCUAGCUAGCCAUUGAGCCCCAGGAAUUUACCUGUCCCUGCCUCCCUGAUGGUGGGAUUACAAAUGUGUACCAUGCCCAGCUCUAAUUUCAUAUAAAUUCUGGGGAUCAAACUCAGGUCUUUGCGUUUGUAAAGAAACAAGCACUUAUUGAGUCAUCUCUCCAGCUCAAAAUAAAGUUUUGAUUGUGACAAAAUUCAUAUAACCAUAAGAUUAACUGUUGUGUUUUAAGCGUGCAGUUCAGUAGUGUUGAGUAUAUGCACAUUGCCGUACAACCCACCUCCAGAACUUACAAACCUAUAACUGGAAUCACCCAUUGACACCAACUCCCCUUUUCCCAUCUCCCCAGGCCUCAGAAGCCUACUCUAGAUGCUUUACACAAGUGGGACCCUGCAGCGUCUGUCUGUGUGUGUCUGAUUUAUUUCACUUGGUUUUAUGUCUUCAUGGUUUAUACACAUUGUGACAUGUGCCAGGAUGCCCUCCCUUCUUCGGGUUAUAGUUCUGUGACACGUGCUGAUGUGAGUGGGAGGACCUGUUUUCUCAUAGGCACUGCCCAGGAGUUCUGGUUACCUGCCUAGGUGCAGGCUGAGCCCUUUACAGAAUCCAUUUUCCUGUAGAAGAGCUCAGAGAUGAGCCCAGUGAUGGAAUUCUGUCAUCUAAUAGUCUUGUUGGCCCUGAAGAGAGACCCCAGAGUAACAGCAUUGGGCACCUCCAAGGAGUGGAAAGCAUCACUCCCAUGAUACGCUCCUGGUUUUACAAGGGGGACUUAGAACUAUAUGCAACUAUAGGUGGUGACUUUUCAAUUUAGUCAGAGCUGGGCGAAAAGACUUCCUGGAGCUACGUGGUGUAAUGCCCUUGAUCUGUUGUGCUGGCUUAUCAACACUGCUCUGAAGAACCUAGGUUCAAAAAAUGCACAGGCUGCCUGAGGAUGUCCAGAUGGAAUUAAAUCCACUGAAGAUUAAAUGAACCAGAGUCUGGGAAUGUUUCUGAGAAGCAGUCUUGGCCAAGGAACGAACUCUGUUUCGUCUACCCUCGCCACUGGAGAUAUUUUAAAAAGUGAAGUGGGAGCAUGCAAUAUGAAAGGAUCUAAAAAUCAUUUUGUCGUCUUUGUGCUGAUGGGAGUAGGUGUACGUGGGAGGGUCAUGCAGGGAGAGGGACAUUCUGCUCAUUGUUGGAUGGGAUGCCUGUCCUUGGCAUCAAGGGGAAGAAUAUGGGGCUUACUGCUCCAACAGUUAGUUACCCUAUCAUAUAAAACCAAUGCCCCUUUAAGCAUGGGUUGGGAUAAAGCAAUUUCUCCCAUGUUACCACCUGGCUACGGACUGCCCUAAGUUACUCCAUAUUGUGUAAA